UAAUAAACAAAACAUAGGGCAAAAAUAGGGCAGGUCAGCUGCAUAGCAAAGAGGAAAGAAAAGGCAAAAACAUUGCAUCACUUUAUAGGCGAAUCGACCUUUUGGCCCGCUUUGGAUCUGCUAAGGCUAUCUCUGCAAGUUUCUCAUUUGCCAUAAUUUUCUUCAAUUCAGAUACCAUGUCUUUAGCGUGUUUUGGAUCUGCUAAGGCUAUCUCUGCAAGUUUCUCAUUUGCCAUAAUUUUCUUCAAUUCAGCUCCACUAAAUUCACCAUUUCCAAAUUCCAAACUGAAGCUGUUUGAAUUUGCAUCAAGCGAACUGGUCGGUGAGAGUUGGCCAGGG
rnacentral:lncRNA from 1 species